GCCGAAAAUCUAGCCCCAAGCCUUAGAAUGCCGCACUUCACCCAGACCAAACAAAUAAAACAUUCCCGCAAUCUAGUAGAGGCGAUAAAAAAAUUAAUUAGAGCUAUACCAGGAGUACCGCAAGGGAAAGAUGAAAUAAAAAUGAAAUAAACAAUUAAGCACAAAAAAGUAAAGAUUUAACCUUGUACCUUUUGUAUCAUGGUUUAACUAGUCUCAGUCGAGCAAAACGAAUUUAAGUUUGACCCCCCGAAACUAGACGAGCUACUUAAAGGCAGCCUAUGAGCAAACCCGUCUCUGUCGCAAAAGAGUGGGAAGACCCUUGAGUAGGGGUGACAGACCAACCGAGUCUAGAGAUAGCUGGUUACCCAAUAAAAGAAUCUUAGUUCAACCUAAAGCCUUAAUAUGAUUAAAAACAAACCCCCUGCUUUAGAGCUAUUCAAAUAAGGUACAGCUUAUUUGAAACAGGAGACAACCUCAAACAAUGGGUUAUCAUGCGAGCAAUUUACCAAAGUGGGCCCAAGAGCAGCCACCUUUAAAAUAGCGUCAAAGCUUAUCUAAUAUGCUCCAUCAAUAGCCAAAGUCACAUAAAACCCUUUAACACUACUGGGUAAUUCUAUACCCCUAUAGAACCUAUCAUGUUAAAACUAGUAGCAAGAAGCAACCAUUCUCUUAAAUGCAAGUGUAAGACAGAAAGGAUAAACCACUGCCAAUUAACACGCAUAAACUUAAACUAGAAACAUCACAAGAAAACCCUAUUAACUUCAGUGUUAACCUAACACAAGAGCAUUUCAAGAAAGAUUAAAAAAAAAGGAAGGAACUCGGCAAACCUUAACCUCGCCUGUUUACCAAAAACAUCGCCUCUUGAACACACAUAAGAGGUCCAGCCUGCCCAGUGACCAAUUUCAACGGCCGCGGUAUCCUAACCGUGCAAA
rnacentral:rRNA from 1 species